rnacentral:lncRNA from 1 species
UUUGAUUUAGAAAUUAGGAUAACAAGAAUUGUUUGUUGAUAGAUGGAGUAUUCUUUUACAUUUUUUUAUGAAUAGUUGUAUUUUUUAAAUAUAAUUCUCAAAAGUUAUAUUCUCAAAAGUUCUAUUUAGAAAAUUUCUUUUUGGUGAAUAAUAGUGUGGAUUUGGGGUUUUGAUUUAGAAAUUAGGAUAACAAGAAUUGUUUGUUUACAGAUGGAGUAUUCUUUUAGAUUUUUUGAUCAAUAGUUGUAUUUUUUAAAUAUAAUUAUCAAAAGUUCUAUUUUAGGAAAGUUUUCAUUGUAUAUAGAAAUAUUGUAGAUUUGGGGUUGUGGUUUAGAAAUUAGGAUAAAAAUAUAUUUUUUUGAUGUAUGAGUAUUUUUUUAGAUUUUUUUUAUCAAUAGGUUGUAUAUUUUAGAUAAAAUUCUCAAAACUUCUAUUUUUAGAAAGUUUUCAUUUUUAUUGAGAAAUAUUGUAGAUUUGGGUUGUGAUUUAGAAUUAGGAUAACAAGAAUUUUGUUGAUAGAUGAGUAUUUUUGAGGUUUUUGAUCAAUAGUUGUAUAUUUUAGAUAAAAUUCUCAAAACUUCUAUUUUUUGAAAGUUUUCAUUUUUAUUGAGAAAUAUUGUAGAGUUAGGGUUGUGAUUUAGAAUUUAGGAUAACAAGAAAUUUUGUUGAUAGAUGAGUAUUCUUUGAGGAUUUUGAUCAAUAAGUUGUAUUUUUAAGAUAAAAUUCUCAAAAAUCUAUUUUAGGAAAGUUUUAUUUUUAUUGGGAAAUAUUGUAGAUUUGGGGUUCAGAUUAAAAAUAUUAGAACAACAAGAAUUUUUGUUGAUAGGUGAGCAUUCUUUAAAAGUUUUGAUCAAUAGGUUGUAUAUUUUAUAUAAAAUUCUCAAAAAUUCUAUUUUGGAAAGUUUCAUUUUUGUGAAUAAUAGUGUGGAUUUGGGGUUUUGAUUUAGAAAUUAGGAUAACAAGAAUUGUUUGUUGAUAGAUGGAGUAUUCUUUUACAUUUUUUGAUGAAUAGUUGUAUUUUUAAAAUAUAAUUCUCAAAAUUCUAUUUUAGGAAAGUUUCCAUUUUGAUGAAUAAUAGUGUGGAUUUGGGGUUUUGAUUUAGAAAUUAGGAUAACAAGAAUUGUUUGUUGAAAGAUGGAGUAUUCUUUUAGAUUUUUUGAUCAAUAGUUGUAUUUUUUAAAUAUAAUUCUCAAAAGUUCUAUUUUAGGAAAGUUUUCAUUGUCUAUAGAAAUAUUGUAGAUUUGGAGUUGUGAUUUAGAAAUUAGGAUAACAAUAUUUUUUGUUGAUGUAUGAGUAUUUGUUUAGAUUUUUGAUCAAUAGGUUAUAUUUUAGAUAAAAUUCUCAAAACUUCUAUUUUAAAAAGUUUUCAUUUUUAUUGAGAAAUAUUGUAGAGUUAGGGUUGUGAUUUAGAAUUUAGGAUAACAAGAAAUUUUGUUGAUAGAUGAGUAUUCUUUGAGGAUUUUUGAUCAAUAAGUUGUAUUUUUAAGAUAAAAUUCUCAAAAAAUCUAUUUUAGGAAAGUUUUAUUUUUAUUUGGAAAUAUUGUAGAUUUGGGGUUCAGAUUAAAAAUAUUAGAACAACAAGAAUUUUUGUGGAUAGGUGAGCAUUUUUAUAAAAGUUUGAUUAAUAGGUUGUAUAUUUUAUAUAAAAUUCUCAAAAAUUCUAUUUCUGGAAAGUUUCAUUUUUGUGAAUAAUAGUGUGGAUUUGGGGUUUUGAUUUAGAAAUUAGGAUAACAAGAAUUGUUUGUUGAUAGAUGGAGUAUUCUUUUACAUUUUUUGAUGAAUAGUUGUAUUUUUAAAAUAUAAUUCUCAAAAGUUCUAUUUUAGGAAAGUUUCCAUUUUGUUGAAUAAUAGUGUGGAUUUGGGGUUUUGAUUUAGAAAUUAGGAUAACAAGAAUUGUUUGUUGAUAGAUGGAGUAUUCUUUUAGAUUUUUUGAUCAAUAGUUGUAUUUUUUAAAUAUAAUUAUCAAAAUUCUAUUUUAGGAAAGUUUUCAUUGUCUAUAGAAAUAUUGUAGAUUUGGGGUUGUGAUUUAGAAAUUAGGAUAACAAUAUUUUUGUUGAUAUAUGAGUAUUUUUUAGAUUUUUUGAUCAAUAGGUUGUUUUUUUAGAUAAAAUUCUCAAAACUUCUAUUUUUAGAAAGUUUUCAUUUUUAUUGAGAAAUAUUGUAGAUUUAGGGUUGUGAUUUAGAAUUUAGGAUAACAAGAAAUUUUGUUGAUAGAUGAGUAUUCUUUGAGGAUUUUUGAUCAAUAAGUUGUAUUUUUAAGAUAAAAUUCUCAAAAAAUCUAUUUUAGGAAAGUUUUAUUUUAAUUGGAAAUAUUGUAGAUUUGGGGUUCAGAUUAAAAAUAUUAGAACAACAAGAAUUUUUGUUGAUAGGUGAGCAUUCUUUUAAAAUUUUGAUCAAUAGGUUGUAUAUUUAUAUAAAAUUCUCAAAAAUUCUAUUUUUGGAAAGUUUUCAUUUUUGUGAAUAAUAGUGUGGAUUUGGGGUUUUGAUUUAGAAAUUAGGAUAACAAGAAUUGUUUGUUGAUAGAUGGAGUAUUCUUUUACAUUUUUUAUGAAUAGUUGUAUUUUUAAAUAUAAUUCUCAAAAGUUAUAUUUUAGAAAAAUUUUCUUUUUGGUGAAUAAUAGUGUGGAUUUGGGGUUUUGAUAUAGAAAUUAGGAUAACAAGAAUUGUUUGUUUACAGAUGGAGUAUUCUUUUAGAUUUUUUGAUCAAUAGUUGUAUUUUUUAAAUAUAAUUAUCAAAAGUUCUAUUUUAGGAAAGUUUUCAUUGUAUAUAGAAAUAUUGUAGAUUUGGGGUUGUGGUUUAGAAAUUAGGAUAAAAAUAUAUUUUUUUGAUGUAUGAGUAUUUUUUUAGAUUUUUUUUAUCAAUAGGUUGUAUAUUUUAGAUAAAAUUCUCAAAACUUCUAUUUUAGAAAUUUUCAUUUUUAUUGAGAAAUAUUGUAGAUUUAAGGUUGUGAUUUAGAAUUUAGGAUAACAAGAAUUUUGUUGAUAGAUGAGUAUUCUUUGAGGUUUUUUGAUCAAUAGUUGUAUAUUUUAGAUGAAAUUUUCAAAAUUCUAUUUUUGAAAGUUUUCAUUUUUUAUGAGAAUAUUGUAGAGUUAGAGUUGUGAUUUAGAAUUUAGGAUAACAAGAAAUUUUGUUGAUAGAUGAGUAUUCCUUGUGGAUUUUUGAUCAAUAAGUUGUAUUUUUUAAGAUAAAAUUCUCAAAAGUGUUAUUUAGGAAAGUUUUAUUUUUAUUGGGAAAUAUUGUAGAUUUGGGGUUCAGAUUAAAAUAUUAGAACAACAAGAAUUUUUGUUGAUAGGUGAGAAUUCUUUUAAAAGUUUGAUCAAUAGGUUGUAUUUUUAUAUAAUUCACAAAAAUUUAUUUUUGGAAAGUUUCAUUUUUGUGAAUAAUAGUGUGGAUUUGGGGUUUUGAUUUAGAAAUUACGAUAACAAAAAUUAUUUGUUGAUAGAUGGAGUAUUCUUUUACAUUUUUUGAUGAAUAGUUGUAUUUUUAAAUAUAAUUAUCAAAAGUUCUAUUUUAGGAAAGUUUUCAUUUUAGGUGAAUAAUAGUGUGUAUUUGGGGUUUUGAUUUAGAAAUUAGGAUAACAAGAAUUGUUUGUUAAUGAUGGAGUAUUAUUUUAGAUUUUUAUCAAUAAUUGUAAUUUUAAAAUAAUUAUCAAAAGUUCUAUUUUAGGAAAGUUUUCAUUGUCUAUAGAAAUAUUGUAGAUUUGGAGGGUUGUGAUUUAGAAAUUAGGAUAACAAUAUUUUUUGUUGAUAGAUGAGUAUUUGUUUAGAUUUUUUGAUCAAUGGGUUAUAUUUUAGAUAAAUUCUCAAAACUUCUAUUUUUAGAAAGUUUUCAUUUUAUUGAGAAAUAUUGUAGAGUUAGGGUUGUGAUUUAGAAUUUAGGAUAACAAGAAAUUUUGUUGAGAGAUGAGUAUUCUUUGAGGAUUUUUUAUCAAUAAGUUGUAUUUUUAAGAUAAAAUUCUCAAAAAAUCUAUUUUAGGAAGUUUUUAUUUUUAUUUGGAAAUAUUGUAGAUUUGGGGUUUCAGAUUAAAGUAUUUAGAACAACAAGAAUUUGUUGAUAGGUGAGCAUUUUUUAAAAAGUUUUGAUCAAUAGGUUGUAUAUUUUAUAUAAAAUUCUCAAAAUUCUAUUUUUGGAAAGUUUCAUUUUUGUGAAUAAUAGUGUGGAUUUGGGGUUUGAUUUAGAAAUUAGGAUAAAAAAAUUGUUGUUGAUAGAUGGAGUAUUCUUUUACAUUUUUUGAUGAAUAGUUGUAUUUUUAAAAUAUAAUUCUCAAAAGUUCUAUUUUAGGAAAGUUUCCAUUUUGAUGAAUAAUAGUGUGGAUUUGGGGUUUUGAUUUAGAAAUUAGGAUAACAAGAAUUGUUUGUUGAAAGAUGGAGUAUUCUUUUAGAUUUUUUGAUCAAUAGUUGUAUUUUUUAAAUAUAAUUCUCAAAAGUUCUAUUUUAGGAAAGUUUUCAUUGUCUAUAGAAAUAUUGUAGAUUUGGGUUGUGAUUUAGAAAUUAGGAUAACAAUAUUUUUUGUUGAUGUAUGAGUAUUUUUUUAGUUUUUUUGAUCAAUAGGUUGUAUAUUUUUAGAUAAAUUCUCAAAACUUCUAUUUUAGAAAGUUUUCAUUUUUAUUGAGAAUAUUGUAGAUUUAGGGUUGUGAUUUAGAAUUUAGGAUAACAAGAAAUUUUGUUGAUAGAUGAGUAUUCUUUGAGGAUUUUUGAUCAAUAAGUUGUAUUUUUAAGAUAAAUUCUCAAAAAUCUAUUUUAGGAAAGUUUUAUUUUUUAAUUGGAAAUAUUGUAGAUUUGGGGUUCAGAUUAAAAAUAUUAGAACAACAAGAAUUUUUUGUUAUAGGUGAGCAUUCUUUUAAAAGUUUUGAUCAAUAGGUUGUAUAUUUAAUAUAAAAUUCUCAAAAAUUCUAUUUUUGGAAAGUUUUCAUUUUUGUGAAUAAUAGUGUGGAUUUGGGGUUUUGAUUUAGAAAUUAGGAUAACAAGAAUUGUUUGUUGAUAGAUGGAGUAUUCUUUUACAUUUUUUGAUGAAUAGUUGUAUUUUUAAAUAUAAUUCUCAAAAGUUCUAUUUUAGAAAAUUUUCUUUUUGGAUAAUAGUGUGGAUUUGGUUUUGAUUUAGAAAUUAGGAUAACAAGAAUUGUUGUUUACAGAUGGAGUAUUCUUUUAGAUUUUUUGAUCAAUAGUUGUAUUUUUUAAAUAUAAUUAUCAUAAGUUCUAUUUUAGGAAAGUUUUCAUUGUAUAUAGAAAUAUUGUAGAUUUGGGUUGUGGUUUAGAAAUUAGGAUAAAAUAUUUUUUUUGAUGUAUGAGUAUUUUUUUAGAUUUUUUGAUCAAUAGUUGUAUAUUUUAAAUAAAAUUCUCAAAAUUCUAUUUUUUAAAGUUUUCAUUUUUAUUGAGAAAUAUUGUAGAUUUGGGUUGUGAUUUAGAAUUUAGGAUAACAAGAAAUUUGUUGAUAGAUGAGUAUUCUUUGAGGUUUUGAUCAAUAGGUUGUAUAUUUUAGAUAAAUUUUCAAAACUUCUAUUUUUUGAAAGUUUUCAUUUUUAUUGAGAAAUAUUGUAGAUUAGGGUUGUGAUUUAGAAUUUAGGAUAACAAGAAAUUUUGUUGAUAGAUGAGUAUUCUUUGGACUUUUGAUCAAUAAGUUGUAUUUUUAAGAUAAAAUUCUCAAAAGUUUAUUUAGGAAAGUUUUAUUUUUAUUGGGAAAUAUUGUAGAUUUGGGGUUCAGAUUAAAAUAUUAGAACAACAAGAAUUUUUGUUGAUAGGUGAGAUUCUUUUAAAUUUUUUGAUCAAUAGGUUGUAUAUUUAAUAUAAAAUUCUCAAAAAUUCUAUUUUAGGAAAGUUCAUUUUUGUGAAUAAUAGUGUGGAUUUGGGGUUUUGAUUUAGAAAUUACGAUAACAAAAAUUAUUUGUUGAUAGAUGGAGUAUUCUUUUAGAUUUUUUGAUGAAUAGUUGUAUUUUUUAAAUAUAAUUAUCAAAAGUUCUAUUUUAGGAAAGUUUUCAUUAGGUGAAUAAUAGUGUGUAUUUGGGUUUUGAUUUAGAAAUUAGGAUAACAAGAAUUGUUUGUUUAAUGAUGGAGUAUUUUUUAGAUUUUUGACAAAUAAUUGUAAUUUAAAAUAUAAUUAUCAAAAGUUCUAUUUUAGGAAAGUUUUCAUUGUCUAUAGAAAUAUUGUAGAUUUGGAUUGUGAUUUAGAAAUUAGGAUAACAAAUUUUUUUUGUUGAUAGAUGAGUAUUUGUUUAGAUUUUUGAUCAAUAGGUAUAUUUUAGAUAAAAUUCUCAAAACUUCUAUUUUUAGAAAGUUUUCAUUUUUAUGAAAUAUUGUAGAGUUGGGGUUGUGAUUUUAGAAUUUAGGAUAACAAGAAAUUUUGUUGAGAGAUGAGUAUUCUUUGAGGAUUUUGAUCAAUAAGUUGUAUUUUUUAAGAUAAAAUUCUCAAAAAUCUAUUUUAGGAAAGUUUAUUUUUAUUUGGAAAUAUUGUAGAUUUGGGUUCUGAUUUAAAAUAUUAGAAUAACAAGAAUUUUUGUUGAUAGGUGAUAUUUUUUUAAAGUUUGAUCAUAGGUUGUAUUUUUAUAUAAAAUUCUCAAAAAUUCUAUUUUUGGAAAGUUUCAUUUUUGUGAAUAAUAGUGUGGAUUUGGGGUUUUGAUUUAGAAAUUAGGAUAAAAGAAUUGUUUGUUGAUAGAUGGAGUAUUCUUUUACAUUUUUUGAUGAAUAGUUGUAUUUUUAAAUAUAAUUCUCAAAAUUCUAUUUUAGGAAAGUUUCCAUUUUGAUGAAUAAUAGUGUGGAUUUUGGGUUUUGAUUUAGAAUUAGGAUAACAAGAAUUGUUUGUUGAAAGAUGGAGUAUUCUUUUAGAUUUUUUGAUCAAUAGUUGUAUUUUUUAAAUAUAAUUCUCAAAAGUUCUAUUUUAGGAAAGUUUUCAUUGUCUAUAGAAAUAUUGUAGAUUUGGAGUUGUGAUUUAGAGAAUUAGGAUAACAAUAUUUUUGUUGAUGUAUGAGUAUUUCUUUAGAUUUUUUGAUCAAUAGGUUAUAUUUUAGAUAAAAUUCUCAAAACUUUAUUUUUAAAAGUUUUCAUUUUUAUUGAGAAUAUUGUAGAUUUGGGGUUGUGAUUUAGAAAUUAGGAUAACAAGAAAUUUUGUUGAUAGAUGAGUAUUCUUUGAGGAUUUUUGAUCAAUAGUUGUAUUUUUAAGAUAAAAUUCUCAAAAAUCUAUUUUAGGAAAGUUUUUAUUUUUAUUUGGAAAUAUUGUAGAUUUGGGGUUCAGAUUAAAAAUAUUAGAACAACAAGAAUUUUGUUGAUAGGUGAGCAUUUUUAUAAAGUUUUGAUAAUAGGUUGUAUAUUUUAUAUAAAAUUCUCAAAAAUUCUAUUUUGGAAAGUUUCAUUUUUGUGAAUAAUAGUGUGGAUUUGGGUUUUGAUUUAGAAAUUAGGAUAACAAGAAUUGUUUGUUGAUAGAUGGAGUAUUCUUUUACAUUUUUUGAUGAAUAGUUGUAUUUUUAAAAUAUAUUCUCAAAAGUUCUAUUUUAGGAAAGUUUCAUUUUGUUGAAUAAUAGUGUGGAUUUGGGGUUUUGAUUUAAAAUUAGGAUAACAAGAAUUGUUUGUUGAUAGAUGGAGUAUUCUUUUAGAUUUUUUGAUCAAUAGUUGUAUUUUUUAAAUAUAAUUAUCAAAAUUCUAUUUUAGGAAAGUUUUCAUUGUCUAUAGAAAUAUUGUAGAUUGGGGUUGUGAUUAGAGAAAUUAGGAUAACAAUAUUUUUGUUUGAUAUAUGAGUAUUUGUUUAGAUUUUUUGAUCAAUAGGUUGUUUAUUUUAGAUAAAAUUCUCAAAACUUCUAUUUUUAGAAAGUUUUCAUUUUUAUUGAGAAAUAUUGUAGAGUUAGGGUUGUGAUUUAGAAUUUAGGAUAACAAGAAAUUUUGUUGAUAGAUGAGUAUUCUUUGAGGAUUUUUUGAUCAAUAAGUUGUAUUUUUAAGAUAAAAUUCUCAAAAAAAUCUUUAGGAAAGUUUUAUUUUUUAUUGGAAAUAUUGUAGAUUUGGGGUUCAGAUUAAAAAUAUUAGAACAACAAGAAUUUUUGUUGAUAGGUGAGCAUUUUUUUAAAGUUUGAUCAAUAGGUUGUAUAUUUUAUAUAAAAUUCUCAAAAAUUCUAUUUUUGGAAAGUUUUCAUUUUUGUGAAUAAUAGUGUGGAUUUGGGGUUUUGAUUUAGAAAUUAGGAUAACAAGAAUUGUUUGUUGAUAGAUGGAGUAUUCUUUUACAUUUUUUGAUGAAUAGUUGUAUUUUUUAAAUAUAAUUCUCAAAAGUUCUAUUUUAGGAAAGUUUUCAUUUAGUGAAUAAUAGUGUGGAUUUGGGGUUUUGAUUUAGAAAUUAGGAUAACAAGAAUUGUUUGUUUAAUGAUGGAGUAUUCUUUUAGAUUUUUUGACAAUAGUUGUAUUUUUAAAAUAAUUAUCAAAAGUUCUAUUUUAGGAAAGUUUUCAUUGUCUAUAGAAAUAUUGUAGAUUUGGGGUUGUGAUUUAGAAAUUAGGAUAACAAUAUUUUUUGUUGAUAUAUGAGUAUUUGUUUAGAUUUUUUGAUCAAUAGGUUAUAUUUAGAUAAAAUUCUCAAAAUUCUAUUUUAGAAAGUUUUCAUUUUUAUUGAGAAAUAUUGUAGAGUUAGGGUUGUGAUUUAGAAUUUAGGAUAACAAGAAAUUUUGUUGAUAGAUGAGUAUUCUUUGAGGAUUUUUGAUCAAUAAGUUGUAUUUUUAAGAUAAAAUUCUCAAAAAUCUAUUUUAGGAAAGUUUUAUUUUUAUUUGGAAUAUUGUAGAUUUGGGGUUCAGAUUAAAAAUAUUAGAACAACAAGAAUUUUUGUUGAUAGGUGAGCAUUUUUAAAAGUUUUGAUCACUAGGUUGUAUAUUUUAUAUAAAAUUCUCAAAAAUUCUAUUUUUGGAAAGUUUCAUUUUUGUGAAUAAUAGUGUGGAUUUGGGGUUUUGAUUUAGAAAUUAGGAUAAAAGAAUUUUUUGUUGAUAGAUGGAGUAUUCUUUUACAUUUUUUGAUGAAUAGUUGUAUUUUUAAAAUAUAAUUCUCAAAAGUUCUAUUUUAGGAAAGUUUCCAUUUUGAUGAAUAAUAGUGUGGAUUUGGGGUUUUGAUUUAGAAAUUAGGAUAACAAGAAUUGUUUGUUGAAAGAUGGAGUAUUCUUUUAGAUUUUUUGAUCAAUAGUUGUAUUUUUUAAAUAUAAUUCUCAAAAGUUCUAUUUUAGAAAAGUUUUCAUUGUCUAUAGAAAUAUUGUAGAUUUGGGGUUGUGAUUUAGAAAUUAGGAUAACAAUAUUUUUUGUUGAUGUAUGAGUAUUUUUUUUAGAUUUUUUGAUCAAUAGGUUGUAUAUUUUAGAUAAAAUUCUCAAAACUUCUAUUUUUAGAAAGUUUUCAUUUUUAUUGAGAAAUAUUGUAGAUUUAGGGUUGUAAUUUAGAAUUUAGGAUAACAAGAAAUUUUGUUGAGAGAUGAGUAUUCUUUGAGGAUUUUUGAUCAAUAAGUUGUAUUUUUAAGAUAAAAUUCUCAAAAAUCUAUUUUAGGAAAGUUUUAUUUUUAUUUGGAAAUAUUGUAGAUUUGGGGUUCAGAUUAAAAAUAUUAGAACAACAAGAAUUUUUGUGGAUAGGUGAGCAUUUUUAUAAAAGUUUUGAUUAAUAGGUUGUAUAUUUUAUAUAAAAUUCUCAAAAAUUCUAUUUCUGGAAAGUUUCAUUUUUGUGAAUAAUAGUGUGGAUUUGGGGUUUUGAUUUAGAAAUUAGGAUAACAAGAAUUGUUUGUUGAUAGAUGGAGUAUUCUUUUACAUUUUUUGAUGAAUAGUUGUAUUUUUAAAAUAUAAUUCUCAAAAGUUCUAUUUUAGGAAAGUUUCAAUUUUGAUGAAUAAUAGUGUGGAUUUGGGGUUUUGAUUUAGAAAUUAGGAUAACAAGAAUUGUUUGUUGAAAGAUGGAGUAUUCUUUUAGAUUUUUUGAUCAAUAGUUGUAUUUUUUAAAUAUAAUUCUCAAAAGUUCUAUUUUAGGAAAGUUUUCAUUGUCUAUAGAAAUAUUGUAGAUUUGGAGUUGUGAUUUAGAAAUUAGGAUAACAAUAUUUUUUGUUGAUGUAUGAGUAUUUGUUUAGAUUUUUUGAUCAAUAGGUUAUAUUUUAGAUAAAAUUCUCAAAACUUCUAUUUUUAAAAAGUUUUCAUUUUUAUUGAGAAAUAUUGUAGAGUUAGGGUUGUGAUUUAGAAUUUAGGAUAACAAGAAAUUUUGUUGAUAGAUGAGUAUUCUUUGAGGAUUUUUGAUCAAUAAGUUGUAUUUUUAAGAUAAAAUUCUCAAAAAAUCUAUUUUAGGAAAGUUUUAUUUUUAAUUGGAAAUAUUGUAGAUUUGGGGUUCAGAUUAAAAAUAUUAGAACAACAAGAAUUUUUGUUAAUAGGUGAGCAUUCUUUUAAAAGUUUUGAUCAAUAGGUUGUAUAUUUUAUAUAAAAUUCUCAAAAAUUCUAUUUUUGGAAAGUUUUCAUUUUUGUGAAUAAUAGUGUGGAUUUGGGGUUUUGAUUUAGAAAUUAGGAUAACAAGAAUUGUUUGUUGAUAGAUGGAGUAUUCUUUUACAUUUUUUUAUGAAUAGUUGUAUUUUUAAAAUAUAAUUCUCAAAAGUUCUAUUUUAGGAAAGUUUCCAUUUUGAUGAAUAAUAGUGUGGAUUUGGGGUUUUGAUUUAGAAAUUAGGAUAACAAGAAUUGUUUGUUUAAUGAUGGAGUAUUAUUUUAGAUUUUUAACGAAUAAUUGUAAUUUUAAAAUAUAAUUAUCAAAAGUUCUAUUUUAGGAAAGUUUUCAUUGUCUAUAGAAAUAUUGUAGAUUUGGGGUUGUGAUUUAGAAAUUAGGAUAACAAUAUUUUUUGUUGAUAUAUGAGUAUUUGUUUAGAUUUUUGGAUCAAUAGGUUGUUUAUCUUAGAUAAAAUUCUCAAAACUUCUAUUUUUAGAAAGUUUUCAUUUUUAUUGAGAAAUAUUGUAGAGUUAGGGUUGUGAUUUAGAAUUUAGGAUAACAAAAUUUUGUUGAUAGAUGAGUAUUCUUUGAGGAUUUUGAUCAAUAAGUUGUAUUUUUAAGAUAAAAUUCUCAAAAAUCUAUUUAGGAAAGUUUUAUUUUUAUUGGAAAUAUUGUAGAUUUGGGGUUCAGAUUAAAAAUAUUAGAACAACAAGAAUUUUGUUGAUAGGUGAGCAUUCUUUUAAAGUUUUGAUCAAUAGGUGUAUAUUUUUAUAUAAAAUUCUCAAAAAUUCUAUUUUUGGAAAGUUUUCAUUUUUGUGAAUAAUAGUGUGGAUUUGGGGUUUUGAUUUAGAAAUUAGGAUAACAAGAAUUUUGUUGAUAGAUGGAGUAUUCUUUUACAUUUUUUGAUGAAUAGUUGUAUUUUUUUAAAAUAUAAUUCUCAAAAGUUCUAUUUUAGAAAAAAAAAAUUUUGUGGUGAAUAAUAGUGUGGAUUUGGGGUUUUGAUAUAGAAAUUAGGAUAACAAGAAUUGUUUGUUUUACAGAUGGAGUAUUCUUUUAGAUUUUUUGAUCAAUAGUUGUAUUUUUUAAAUAUAAUUAUCAAAAGUUCUAUUUUAGGAAAGUUUCAUUGUCUAUAGAAAUAUUGUAGAUUUGGGUUGUGGUUUAGAAAUUAGGAUAAAAAUAUUUUUUGAUGUAUGAGUAUUUUUUAGAUUUUUUGAUCAAUAGGUUUUAUUUUAGAUAAAAUUCUCAAAACUUCUAUUUUUAGAAAGUUUUCAUUUUUAUUGAGAAAUAUUGUAGAUUAAGGUUGUGAUUUAGAAUUUAGGAUAACAAGAAAUUUUGUUGAUAGAUGAGUAUUCUUUGAGGAUUUUUGAUCAAUAAGUUGUAUUUUUAAGAUAAAUUCUCAAAAGUAUUUUAGGAAAGUUUUAUUUUUAUUGGAAAUAUUGUAGAUUUGGGGUUCAGAUUUAAAAUAUUAGAACAACAAGAAUUUUUGUUGAUAGGUGAGCAUUCUUUUAAAAGUUUUGAUCAAUAGGUUGUAUAUUUAUAUAAAUUCUCAAAAAUUCUAUUUUGGAAAGUUUCAUUUUUGUGAAUAAUAGUGUGGAUUGGGGUUUUGAUUUAGAAAUUAGGAUAACAAGAAUUGUUUGUUGAUAGAUGGAGUAUUCUUUUACAUUUUUUGAUGAAUAGUUGUAUUUUUAAAAUAUAAUUCUCAAAGUUAUUUUAGAAAGUUUUCUUUUGGUGAAUAAUAGUGUGGGGGUUGGGGUUUUGAUUUAGAAAUUAGGAUAACAAGAAUUGUUUGUUUACAGAUGGAGUAUUCUUUUAGAUUUUUUGAUCAAUAGUUGUAUUUUUUAAUAUAAUUAUCAAAGUUCUAUUUUAGGAAAAUUUUCAUUGUAUAUAGAAUAUUGUAGAUUUGGGGUGUGAUUUAGAAAUUAGGAUAAAAAUAUUUUUUUGAUGUAUGAGUAUUUUUUAGAUUUUUUUUAUCAAUAGUUUUCAUUUUUAUUGAGAAAUAUUGUAGAUUAGGUUGUGAUUUAGAAUUUAGGAUAACAAGAAUUUGUUGAUAGAUGAGUAUUCUUUGUGGAUUUUGAUCAAUAAGUUGUAUUUUUAAGAUAAAAUUCUCAAAGUUAUUUAGGAAAGUUUUAUUUUUAUUGGAAUAUUGUAGAUUUGGGGUUCAGAUUAAAAAUAUUAGAACAACAAGAAUUUUUGUUGAUAGGUGAGCAUUCUUUUAAAAGUUUUGAUCAAUAGGUUGUAUAUUUUAUAUAAAAUUCUCAAAAAUUCUAUUUUUGGAAGUUUUCAUUUUUGUGAAUAAUAGUGUGGAUUUGGGGUUUUGAUUUAGAAAUUGGAUAACAAGAAUUGUUUGUUGAUAGAUGGAGUAUUCUUUUACAUUUUUUGAUGAAUAGUUGUAUUUUUUAAAUAUAAUUCUCAAAAGUUAUUUUUAGAAAAUUUCUUUUGGUGAAUAAUAGUGUGGAUUUGGGUUUUGAUUUAGAAAUUAGGAUAACAAGAAUUGUUUGUUUACAGAUGGAGUAUUCUUUUAGAUUUUUUGAUCAAUAGUUGUAUUUUUUAAAUAUAAUUAUCAAAAGUUCUAUUUUAGGAAAGUUUUCAUUGUAUAUAGAAAUAUUGUAGAUUUGGGGUUGUGGUUUAGAAAUUAGGAUAAAAAUAUAUUUUUUUGAUGUAUGAGUAUUUUUUUAGAUUUUUUUUAUCAAUAGGUUGUAUAUUUUAGAUAAAAUUGUCAAAACUUCUAUUUUUAGAAAGUUUUCAUUUUUAUUGAGAAAUAUUGUAGAUUUACGGUUGUGAUUUAGAAUUUAGGAUAACAAGAAAUUUUGUUGAUAGAUGAGUAUUCUUUGAGGUUUUUUGAUCAAUAGGUUGUAUAUUUUAGAUGAAAUUUUCAAAACUUCUAUUUUUUGAAAGUUUUAAUUUUUAUUGAGAAAUAUUGUAGAGUUAGAGUUGUGAUUUAGAAUUUAGGAUAACAAGAAAUUUUGUUGAUAGAUGAGUAUUCCUUGUGGACCUUUGAUUAAUAAGUUGUAUUUUUAAGAUAAAAUUCUCAAAAGUGUUAUUUAGGAAAGUUUUAUUUUUAUUGGGAAAUAUUGUAGAUUUGUGGUUCAGAUUAAAAAUAUUAGAACAACAAGAAUUUUUGCUGAUAGGUGAGCAUUCUUUUAAAAGUUUUGAUCAAUAGGUUGUAUAUUUUAUAUAAAAUUCACAAAAUUCUAUUUUUGGAAAGUUUCAUUUUUGUGAAUAAUAGUGUGGAUUUGGGGUUUUGAUUUAGAAAGUACGAUAACAAAAAUUAUUUGUUGAUAGAUGGAGUAUUCUUUUACAUUUUUUGAUGAAUAGUUGUAUUUUUUAAAUAUAAUUAUCAAAAGUUCUAUUUUAGGAAAGUUUUCAUUUAGGUGAAUAAUAGUGUGUAUUUGGGGUUUUGAUUUAAAAAUUAGGAUAACAAGAAUUGUUUGUUUAAUGAUGGAGUAUUCUUUUAGAUUUUUUGACGAAUAAUUGUAAUUUUUAAAUAUAAUUAUCAAAAGUUCUAUUUUAGGAAAGUUUUCAUUGUCUAUAGAAAUAUUGUAGAUUUGGAGUUGUGAUUUAGAAAUUAGGAUAACAAUAUUUUUUGUUGAUGUAUGAGUAUUUGUUUAGAUUUUUUGAUCAAUAGGUUAUAUUUUAGAUAAAAUUCUCAAAACUUCUAUUUUUAAAAAGUUUUCAUAUUUAUUGAGAAAUAUUGUAGAGUUAGGGUUGUGAUUUAGAAUUUAGGAUAACAAGAAAUUUUUUUGAGAGAUGAGUAUUCUUUGAGGAUUUUUGAUCAAUAAGUUGUAUUUUUAAGAUAAAAUUCUCAAAAAAUCUAUUUUAGGAACGUUUUAUUUUUAUUUGGAAAUAUUGUAGAUUUGGGGUUCAGAUUAAAAAUAUUAGAACAACAUGAAUUUUUGUUGAUAGGUGAGCAUUUUUUUAAAAGUUUUGAUCACUAGGUUGUAUAUUUUAUAUAAAAUUCUCAAAAAUUCUAUUUUUGGAAAGUUUCAUUUUUGUGAAUAAUAGUGUGGAUUUGGGGUUUUGAUUUAGAAAUUAGGAUAACAAGAAUUGUUUGUUGAUAGAUGGAGUAUUCUUUUACAUUUUUUGAUGAAUAGUUGUAUUUUUAAAAUAUAAUUCUCAAAAGUUCUAUUUUAGGAAAGUUUCCAUUUUGAUGAAUAAUAGUGUGGAUUGGGGUUUUGAUUUAGAAAUUAGGAUAACAAGAAUUGUUUGUUGAAAGAUGGAGUAUUCUUUUAGAUUUUUUGAUCAAUAGUUGUAUUUUUUAAAUAUAAUUCUCAAAAGUUCUAUUUUAGAAAAGUUUUCAUUGUCUAUAGAAAUAUUGUAGAUUUGGGGUUGUGAUUUAGAAAUUAGGAUAACAAUAUUUUUUGUUGAUGUAUGAGUAUUUUUUUUAGAUUUUUUGAUCAAUAGGUUGUAUAUUUUAGAUAAAAUUCUCAAAACUUCUAUUUUUUGAAAGUUUUCAUUUUUAUUGAGAAAUAUUGUAGAUUUAGGGUUGUAAUUUAGAAUUUAGGAUAACAAGAAAUUUUGUUGAUAGAUGAGUAUUCUUUGAGGAUUUUUGAUCAAUAAGUUGUAUUUUUAAGAUAAAAUUCUCAAAAAUCUAUUUUAGGAAAGUUUUAUUUUUAUUUGGAAAUAUUGUAGAUUUGGGGUUCAGAUUAAAAAUAUUAGAACAACAAGAAUUUUUGUUGAUAGGUGAGCAUUUUUUUAAAAGUUUUGAUCACUAGGUUGUAUAUUUUAUAUAAAAUUCUCAAAAAUUCUAUUUUUGGAAAGUUUCAUUUUUGUGAAUAAUAGUGUGGAUUUGGGGUUUUGAUUUUGAAAUUAGGAUAACAAGAAUUGUUUGUUGAUAAAUGGAGUAUUCUUUUACAUUUUUUGAUGAAUAGUUGUAUUUUUAAAAUAUAAUUCUCAAAAUUUAUAUUUUAAGAAAGUUUCCAUUUUGACAAAUAAUAGUGUGGAUUUGGGGUUUUGAUUUAGAAAUUAGGAUAACAAGAAUUGUUUGUUGAUAGAUGGAGUAUUCUUUUAGAUUUUUUGAUGAAUAGUUGUAUUUUUUAAAUAUAAUUAUCAAAAGUUCUAUUUUAGGAAAGUUUUCAUUGUCUAUAGAAAUAUUGUAGAUUUGGGAUUGUGAUUUAGAAAUUAGGAUAACAAUAUUUUUUGUUGAUGUAUGAGUAUUUGUUUAGAUUUUUUUAUCAACAUGUUAUAUUUUGAGAAUUUUAUCUAAAAUAUAACCUAUUGAUAAAAAAAUAUAAACAAAUACUUUGAGGAAUUUUGAUCAGUAAGAUGUAUUGUUAAGAUAAAAUUCUCAAAGAGUCUAUUUUAUGAAAGUUUAUUUUUAUUGGGAAAUAUUGUAGAUUUGGGGUUCAGAUUAAAAAUAUUAGAACAACAAGAAUUUUUGUUGAUAGGUGAGCAUUCUUUUAAAAGUUUUGAUCAAUAGGUUGUAUAUUUUAUAUAAAAUUCACAAAAAUUCUAUUUUUUGAAAGUUUUCAUUUUUGUGAAUAAUAGUGUGGAUUUGGGGUUUUGAUUUAGAAAUUAGGAUAACAAGAAUUGUUUGUUGAUAGAUGGAGUAUUCUUUUACAUUUUUUGAUGAAUAGUUGUAUUUUUUUAAAUAUAAUUCUCAAAAGUUAUAUUUUAGAAAAAAAUUCUUUUUGGUGAAUAAUAGUGUGGAUUUGGGGUUUUGAUUUAGAAAUUAGGAUAACAAGAAUUGUUUUUUUACAGAUGGAGUAUUCUUUUAGAUUUUUUUAUGAAUAGUUGUAUUUUUUAAAUAUAAUUCUCAAAAGUUCUAUUUGAAAAAAGUUUUCAUUUUGGUGAAUUAAAGUGUGGAUUUGGGGUUUUGAUUUAGAAAUUAGGAUAACAAGAAUUGCUUGUUUAUAGAUGGAGUAUUCUUUUAGAUUUUUUGACCAAUAGUUGUAUAUUUUAAAUAUAAUUAUCAAAACUUCUAUUUUAGGAAAGUUUUCAUUGUAUAUAGAAAUAUUGUAGAUUUGAGGUUGUGAUUUAGAAAUUAGGAUAACAAUAUUUUUUUUUGAUGUAUGAGUAUUUUUUUUAGAUAUUUUGAUCAAUAGGUUGUAUAUUUUAGAUAAAAUUCUCAAAACUUCUAUUUUUAGAAAUUUUUUAUUUUUAUUGAGAAAUAUUGUAGAUUUAGGGUUGUGAUUUAGAAGUUAGGAUAACAAGAAAUUUGGUUGAUAAAUGAGUAUUCUUUGAGGAUUUUUGAUCAAUAGGUUGUAUAUUUUAGAUGAAAUUUUCAAAACUUCUAUUUUAAGAAAGUUCUCAUUUUUAUUGAGAAAUAUAGUAGAGUUAGGGUUGUGAUUUAGAAUUUAGGAUAACAAGAAAUUUUGUUGAUGGAUGAGUAUUCUUUGAGGAUUUUUUAUCAAUAAUUUGUAUUUUUAAGAUAAAAUUCUCAAAAAAU